rnacentral:tRNA from 1 species
GCGAGCGUAACUCAGCUGGUAGAGUUCCAGCUUCCCAAGCUGGCUGUCGCGGGUUCGAAUCCCGUCGCUCGCUCCA